CCUCAGGGUGCUGACAAGGCCUCAGGGAGGGUGCUGGCUGGCCUUAGGCUGCUGACCUGGCCUCAGGGAGGGUGCUGGCUGGCAUCAGGGUGCUGGCUGGCCUGAGGGAGGGUGCUGACCUGGCCUCAGGGUGCUGACCUGGCUUAGGGAGGGUGCUGGCUUGCCUUAGGGUGCUUAUCUGGCUUUGGGAGGGUGCUGGCUGGUCUUAGGGUGCUGACCUGGCCUUGGGGUGCUGGCUGGACUCAGGGUGCUGGCUGGCCUGGCCUCAGGGGUGCUGUGGUCUCAGGCAGGGUGCUGGCUGGCCGGGCAGAAGGAGUGUGGGGACCGUGUGUGAGACUGUGAGGCCUUUUUUCUUCAUUCUAUCUUCAGUCUCACCGUCACGGUCUCACCCUAGCAUUGCCGACAUGACGCCGUGACUCCACG